rnacentral:lncRNA from 1 species
UUUUUCGCACACUGUAUUUUUCAGGUUGCGACAGGAAGGUACCAUGACCCUAAAGGUAUAUGAUGAAGAGCUCAGAAUUGAUGUCCGAGAUACUAUGAAACAUAAAGAGGAUAUGUAUAUAAACCACUCUAUGGAAGUAAUUGAUCAAAUUGUAACAAGCACAAUUCAAAGAAAGUUUCCUGAAUUACCGGUGGAAAGAGUU